rnacentral:rRNA from 1 species
UACGAAGGGGGCUAGCGUUGCUCGGAAUUACUGGGCGUAAAGGGCGCGUAGGCGGCACUGUUAGUCAGGCGUGAAAGUCCUGGGCUCAACCUGGGAACUGCGCUUGAUACGGCAGAGCUAGAGGAUGGAAGAGGGUCGCGGAAUUCCCAGUGUAGAGGUGAAAUUCGUAGAUAUUGGGAAGAACACCGGUGGCGAAGGCGGCGACCUGGUCCAUUACUGACGCUGAGGCGCGACAGCGUGGGGAGCAACAGG